rnacentral:snRNA from 1 species
GUGCUGCUCUGGCAGCACAUACACUGAAGUUGGAACACUAUGGAGAAGAUUAGCGUGGCCCUGCGCAAGGAUGACAGAAAUUCGUGAAGCCUUCCCUAUCUAA